rnacentral:rRNA from 1 species
UAGUCCACGCCGUAAACGAUGGUUACUAGCUGUUCGGACUUCGGUUUGAGUGGCUAAGCGAAAGUGAUAAGUAACCCACCUGGGGAGUACGUUCGCAAGAAUGAAACUCAAAGGAAUUGACGGGGGCCCGCACAAGCGGUGGAGCAUGUGGUUUAAUUCGAUGAUACGCGAGGAACCUUACCAGGGCUUAAAUGCAGAGCGACCGUUCUGGAAACAGAACUUUCUUCGGACGGUUUGCAAGGUGCUGCAUGGUUGUCGUCAGCUCGUGCCGUGAGGUGUCGGGUUAAGUCCCAUAACGAGCGCAACCCCUAUUCUUAGUUGCCAGCGAGUAAUGUCGGGGACUCUAGGAAAACUGCCAGUGUAAGCUGUGAGGAAGGUGGGGAUGACGUCAAAUCAUCACGGCCCUUACGUCCUGGGCUACACACGUGCUACAAUGGUUGGUACAGAGGGCAGCUACCCAGUGAUGGGAUGCGAAUCUCUAAAGCCAGCCCUAGUUCGGAUUGAAGUCUGCAACUCGACUU